AUACGGAGGGGGUUAGCGUUGUUCGGAAGUACUGGGCGUAAAGCGCACGUAGGCGGACUGGAAAGUUGGGGGUGAAAUCCCGGGGCUCAACCCCGGAACUGCCUCCAAAACUUCCAAUCUAGAGAUCGAGAGAGGUGAGUGGAAUUACAAGUGUAGAGGUGAAAUUCGUAGAUAUUUGGAGGAACACCAGUGGCGAAGGCGGCUCACUGGCUCGAUACUGACGCUGAGGUGCGAAAGCGUGGGGAGCAAACAGGAUUAGAUACCCUAGUAGUCC
rnacentral:rRNA from 1 species